GACGAACGCUGGCGGCGUGCUUAACACAUGCAAGUCGAACGGAAGGGCCCUGCUUUUGUGGGGUGCUCGAGUGGCGAACGGGUGAGUAACACGUGAGUAACCUGCCCUUGACUUUGGGAUAACUUCAGGAAACUGGGGCUAAUACCGGAUAGGAGCUCCUGCUGCAUGGUGGGGGUUGGAAAGUUUCGGCGGUUGGGGAUGGACUCGCGGCUUAUCAGCUUGUUGGUGGGGUAGUGGCUUACCAAGGCUUUGACGGGUAGCCGGCCUGAGAGGGUGACCGGCCACAUUGGGACUGAGAUACGGCCCAGACUCCUACGGGAGGCAGCAGUGGGGAAUAUUGCACAAUGGGCGGAAGCCUGAUGCAGCAACGCCGCGUGCGGGAUGACGGCCUUCGGGUUGUAAACCGCUUUCGCCUGUGACGAAGCGUGAGUGACGGGAAUGGGUAAAGAAGCACCGGCUAACUACGU
rnacentral:rRNA from 1 species